rnacentral:tRNA from 1 species
CCGUCCUUAGCUCAGCUGGAUAGGGUACCGGGCUCGGAACCGGGCGGUCGGAGGUUGAAAGCCUCCAGGACGCGCCA